rnacentral:misc_RNA from 1 species
GAUGAAGAACGUAGCGAAAUGCGAUAAGUAAUGUGAAUUGCAGAAUUCCGUGAAUCAUCGAGUCUUUGAACGCAAGUUGCGCCCGAAGCCAUUAGGCCGAGGGCACGCCUGCCUGGGUGUCACACACCGUUACCCUCGCGCCAACGUCCAUCGUUGGCCGCGGCGCGGGGCGUGCGCUGACCUCCCGCGAGCGGGGUCUCGUGGUUGGUUGAAAAUCGAGUUCGCGGUCGAGGGUGCCGUGAUGAAAUGGUGGAUGGGCGACGCCCGAGGCCAAUCACGCGCGACUCUGUCCGGCUCGGACUCCUGGACCCCUUCGGCGUCUCCGGACGCUCUUUGGCGAGACCUCAGGUCAGGCGGGGCUACCCGCUGAGUUUAAGCAUAUCAAUAAGCGGAGGA